rnacentral:rRNA from 1 species
GACGAACGCUGGCGGCGUGCUUAACACAUGCAAGUCGAACGGAAAGGCCCUGCUUUUGUGGGGUGCUCGAGUGGCGAACGGGUGAGUAACACGUAAGUAACCUGCCCUUGACUUUGGGAUAACGUCAGGAAACUGGGGCUAAUACCGGAUAGGAGCUCCUGCUGCAUGGUGGGGGUUGGAAAGUUUCGGCGGUUGGGGAUGGACUCGCGGCUUAUCAGCUUGUUGGUGGGGUAGUGGCUUACCAAGGCUUUGACGGGUAGCCGGCCUGAGAGGGUGACCGGCCACAUUGGGACUGAGAUACGGCCCAGACUCCUACGGGAGGCAGCAGUGGGGAAUAUUGCACAAUGGGCGGAAGCCCGAUGCAGCAACGCCGCGUGCGGGAUGACGGCCUUCGGGUUGUAAACCGCUUUCGCCUGUGACGAAGCGUGAGUGACGGUAAUGGGUAAAGAAGCACCGGCUAACUACGUGCCAGCAGCCGCGGUGAUACGUAGGGUGCGAGCGUUGUCCGGAUUUAUUGGGCGUAAAGGGCUCGUAGGUGGUUGAUCGCGUCGGAAGUGUAAUCUUGGGGCUUAACCCUGAGCGUGCUUUCGAUACGGGUUGACUUGAGGAAGGUAGGGGAGAAUGGAAUUCCUGGUGGAGCGGUGGAAUGCGCAGAUAUCAGGAGGAACACCAGUGGCGAAGGCGGUUCUCUGGGCCUUUCCUGACGCUGAGGAGCGAAAGCGUGGGGAGCGAACAGGCUUAGAUACCCUGGUAGUCCACGCUGUAAACGGUGGGUACUAGGUGUGGGGUCCAUUCCACGGGUUCCGUGCCGUAGCUAACGCUUUAAGUACCCCGCCUGGGGAGUACGGCCGCAAGGCUAAAACUCAAAGGAAUUGACGGGGCCCCGCACAAGCGGCGGAGCAUGCGGAUUAAUUCGAUGCAACGCGUAGAACCUUACCUGGGUUUGACAUGGAUCGGGAGUGCUCAGAGAUGGGUGUGCCUCUUUUGGGGUCGGUUCACAGGUGGUGCAUGGCUGUCGUCAGCUCGUGUCGUGAGAUGUUGGGUUAAGUCCCGCAACGAGCGCAACCCUUGUUCACUGUUGCCAGCACGUUAUGGUGGGGACUCAGUGGAGACCGCCGGGGUCAACUCGGAGGAAGGUGGGGAUGACGUCAGGUCAUCAUGCCCCUUAUGUCCAGGGCUUCACGCAUGCUACAAUGGCUGGUACAGAGAGUGGCGAGCCUGUGAGGGUGAGCGAAUCUCGGAAAGCCGGUCUCAGUUCGGAUUGGGGUCUGCAACUCGACCUCAUGAAGUCGGAGUCGCUAGUAAUCGCAGAUCAGCAACGCUGCGGUGAAUACGUUCCCGGGGCU